rnacentral:lncRNA from 10 species
AGUGUGGGUGUAGGGGUGCCUGAGGAGAAAGGGGUGCUGGUUCUUCCUUAUAUCCCCUGCCUGCCUCAGCUGGGCUCUGACCCAGCCAGCAGACUGGAGUCCUCUUCUGCAUGGUAUAUUCUUUCCUGAGACUUUUGUUUCAGUUAGGUGUGUGUGUGUUUCUGUUUUUGUGUGUGCAUGUGUGUGUCUUAAAAUAUAGUUCUAUGUAUUGUGUCUAGAAGAAUGUUUGAUAAACACUGGAUUGAAUGAUCUCUCAGAUUUCCUCUAGCUCUACUCAUGUGGAAUUUGGUAAGGAAACUGAGGCUUAGAGGAGUUAUGAAAUUGCCCAAGGUUUCACAGCUGAAAUGUAUAAGGACCUGGACUUGCAAAUUUGGCACAAAGUUCUUCUAAUAAGAGGCCAUAAAAUAACCAAAUGAUUUUUUAUGUGCCUAUAGAACCAAAAGAACUAUUUCAGAAUGUCAGCUGAAAAGCACGAUAUUCCAGAUAGCUUAGAAACCUUGGCAUAGUGCCUUCCUGGAAAUCCUGGAUUGCAUCUAAAACCAUGUGGCAGAGGGAGAAACAACAGACAGGACAUCCUGAGAAGACUCAGGCUGGGACGAAAGCUCUGCUCUCCAGGGACAAAGCAGCAGGGGACCAGCCAUGCUCAGAAAUACUCCACUGGCCAGUGCACAUUUUUUUGAGCAAUUUCACUUGCUUCCUCACCACCUGUCCCC